rnacentral:tRNA from 1 species
GUUAAGGUGGCAGAGCCCGGAAUUUAUGCAAAAGGUCUAAGCCCUUUGAACAGAGGUUCAAAUCCUCUCCUCAACU